UCAAGCAGGGAAACCUUUCAAA
rnacentral:rRNA from 1 species